rnacentral:rRNA from 1 species
AGAACGAACGCUGGCGGCAGGCCUCAAACAUGCAAGUCUAGGGGGUGUAGCAAUACAUCACCGGCGGACGGGUGCGUAACACGUGGGAAUAUACCUUUUGGUUCGGAACAACGCAGGGAAACUUGCGCUAAUACCGAAUGUGCCCUUACGGGGAAAGAUUUAUCGCCAAAGGAUUAGCCCGCGUAGGAUUAGCUAGUUGGUGAGGUAAUGGCUCACCAAGGCUCCGAUCCUUAGCUGUUCUGAGAGGAAGAUCAGCCACACUGGGACUGAGACACGGCCCAGACUCCUACGGGAGGCAGCAGUUGGGAAUCUUGGACAAUGGGGGAAACCCUGAUCCAGCCAUGCCGCGUGAGUGAUGAAGGCCUUCGGGUUGUAAAACUCUUUCGACGGGGACGAGUAAUGACGGUACCCGUAGAAGAAGCUCCGGCUAACUUCGCGCCAGCAGCCGC